GAGUUUUUCAAAGGUCAGAGCAGAUUGAACCAUUGUGGUUUCAUUUUCCCUGAUUUUGAUUUUUCUUAUGGGGAACCUGUGUGGCUGCAUUCAAGGUGACUCGAAGAAGCCUUCCAAAAAGCGUGUGAAAAGGAAGCCCUACUCUACUACCAAGGUGACUUCAGGGAGCACAUUCAAUGAGAAUACAAGAAGAUAUGCUGUGCACACCAACCAGUGUAGGAGACCUCAUGGCUCCCGGGUAAAGAAGAAGAGGUACCCACAAGAAGAUGACUUCCAUCAUACAGUCUUCAGCAACCUUGAAAGAUUGGACAAGCUUCAGCCCACUCUUGAAGCCUCUGAGGAGUCUCUAGUUCACAAGGACAGAGGAGAUGGAGAGAGGCCAGUCAACGUGAAGGUGGUGCAGGUGGCCCCUCUGAGGCGUGAAUCUACUCCCCAUGAGGACACCGUACACAACAUCACUAACGAGGAUGCCUCACACGAUAUCACUAACGAGGACGCUGUCCACGGCAUCGCUAACGAGGCCGCCGACAAGGGCAUCGCCAACGAGGACGCCGCCC
ensembl:lncRNA FAM230J family with sequence similarity 230 member J